UGUUAAAAAAACUACUUAAUUUAUGCUAACAAAACAUAAAAUUUUUACCUAUAAAUUGAUCAAAUAAUUAUGUUUAUUACAUACAAGAGAAAAAAAUAUGGCUAAAAUUUUCAUAUUUGUUUAUGCUUUGAUUAUCUUUAUUUCACUAUUUAUUUUUGAAAUCCUCGGAGAUGAUGUUAUUGUUCCCUGCAAAACUGAGGGGGAUUGUCCAAUGAAGUUAUAUUAUUUAUCAAAGUGUGUUAAGAGAUCUUGUCAUUACUAUUAAGCGCAAUAAUUAAGUUUAAAAAUAAAUACAUUAUAUGUAAGGUAUAAGUUUAUUUGUAUGUCAAUAAUGUUGGACGUUUAGACUUUAUAAUCUAUAAUAUAAUAAAAUUUAUAGUUUUGGAAAUCACAAAAAUAC